rnacentral:lncRNA from 1 species
AUACAUGCUUUAUUCAUCUAUGUGUUUGCAGAUUUUAAAUGGUUAGUGAUUUGUUUGAUCUCUCUGUUUCUCUUAUUUUGCUCAUCUUUUGAGUAAUCGUUAAUUCUUAUUUGAUUUUGGAUAUCAAAACUAUGUUUCUUGCAGCAAUUUUGUAUCACAGAUGGAUACUCAACAUUGUUGAAAGUUUUCAUCUCUUGUUCUUGAGGAGGAUGAAGAAGUAUGGAUUACAAAUUCUUUUGGUCAAGGCUAGUUUAAUUCCCAUGUGAGCAAUGAAACUGGUCAAUAAGGACAGGUUCGUUUUCUUUAUGAAUCUUAAUGCUUAUUUUAUUAAAUAUUUGCCUAGUAAAUGAGAUUGGAAUUCUUAUCCCUUGAUACUUCAAGAAAAUAGAGACAAUGAUAACAUGAUGGAACUAUCAUAUUCGGCUAUCGCAAAGCUUGAUCAAGCAAAACAGAAUGAGAUCCAACCUUCUUCAUAAAAAUUAGAAGGUUAUUUACUUUACUUCGUCUUUGUUACUCUUGAUGGUUUUGGUUUUGGCAAUUUCAGUUCCAAACUAAUUCAGGCUAUCCACAAGCUUUCCUUUCGGCAUCAAGACUUCAAGGUAAACUAAUACUCUUUGAUUUCUCGUGUUUUCAUAAGGUUAGCAGCUGAUCAGUUCAAAUUAUUUAGUAGAUAUACCCUGCAUUUUAAGGAAAUUUGAAGCUAAUAAGCUUGUCUAUUGUACUGCAUUUUUAGGACUAUUGUUGCUUUGGAGAAGGCAGUGAAGUGAGAAUUGCUUGGAAUGAGACAACCUAAGUUCUUUGAAGGAGAGAAAGAGCAAGCUAAUGGGAAGGCAACGCACAUAGAGGGGAUGAGAUUGAAGUUGUCUUUAGAAUGUUAGCUUUAUUUUGUUUAAAACUUGGUAUGAUGUUAUGUUAAAAUGGAUAAUGUAAUAAUAUUGUUAUGUAUGUUGAUGAUUUAUGAAAUAUAAACAUUAUAUUAUAA